ACUCCCUCCUGCCUCUUCCCCUUCAAGUAGUCCGCGAGAAGGGACCAGAACUAGCGAAGAACUACGUGUCCGCUUGCGGCCGGAGCGGGACACUCCAACCAUGGAUGUCUGUACAGAAAUCAGGUUUUGGUUAAUGAUGAAGAUUGAAUGGCAAAAUCUGAAGAUGACCACAUCUCAUGCAGGUGAUCCUUAUGGCUGACUUCAAAGUGACUGGAUAAGGACAUUUCAUAUGAAGGCAACACUGUCUGUGAGCCUCAGUCUGGCAUCAUUGAGCUGCUUGGGUUCUACCAUCCUGGUUUGUGAAGGUCCAGUGAGGUGUUGGAGAGCAGCCUGAACAAACAAGAUUGUUGGGAAUCGAAGGGUCUGGAUUCAGCAUGCAUCUACAAGGAAGUGGCAACGCUAUAGUGAACAUUUCAACUUAACUUGCACCACUCCCAAGGUGUCAAGUUUCCAGAACUUGUAUGUUAAAGUCAAGGUGAUCAGUGGAAAAAAUGUUCAGUUCUUAAAUGAAAUAAAAUUGUAUUAAACUA